AUUGAACGCUGGCGGCAUGCCUUACACAUGCAAGUCGAACGGUAACAGGUCUUCGGAUGCUGACGAGUGGCGAACGGGUGAGUAAUACAUCGGUACGUGCCUAGUAGUGGGGGAUAACUACUCGAAAGAGUGGCUAAUACCGCAUGAGAUCUACGGAUGAAAGCAGGGGAUCGCAAGACCUUGUGCUACUAGAGCGGCCGAUGGCAGAUUAGGUAGUUGGUGGGAUAAAAGCUUACCAAGCCGACGAUCUGUAGCUGGUCUGAGAGGACGAUCAGCCACACUGGGACUGAGACACGGCCUAGACUCCUACGGGAGGCAGCAGUGGGGAAUUUUGGACAAUGGGCGCAAGCCUGAUCCAGCAAUGCCGCGUGCAGGAUGAAGGCCUUCGGGUUGUAAACUGCUUUUGUACGGAACGAAAAGCCCCGGGUUAAUACCCUGGGGUCAUGACGGUACCGUAAGAAUAAGCACCGGCUAACUACGUGCCAGCCGCCGCGGUAA
rnacentral:rRNA from 1 species